rnacentral:sRNA from 1 species
GGUGGCAGCAGCUGCGCCACCAGUGGCGGCAGUGGUGGAGGAGGCUCGCGGACGACGGGCAGCCUCCAUGGUGGCAAGGUGCAGCCUCCCCUCCUUGGGGCCUGGUUGGUGGCGGGCGGCCUACCCUCUGACGGGGCUUGGUGGGUGGCGGGCGGCCUCAUCGGUGACGGGAUGUGGCGGGCAGCCUCCACAACGGCGCGGCGGAUGAUCUCCCAACGUCGGUUUGCUGGUAGCUCUGAUCCGUGCGUCCUCCUCGACAGUUUCGUUAUCUUAUUUUCAUAUCCAUGUGUUUUUCAGUUCUUGGAUGCUGAUCUGUGCAUGUUUGAUGUCUCUGUGUUGUUCGAUGAAUGGAUGAUGGUACGUGGAUGUUGAUGAUU